UUAAAAACUGGUAUUCAAUAACACAAACAACUGAUAAUAUUUAGCUCCUUGAGACAUGGAUAUUUUACUUACUGAAAAAAUGCCACUGUAUGUCUGAAUUACUCUGUGAAAACAGUCACCAGUCUGCAGCACUUCCAGGAAAAGACAUGCAAUGCCUUCAGCAGCCUCUCCUCCCUUUCUGCAAUCUUUGUUUCUCCUUCUCAGUCACACAGAUGGUAGGAAAGUUUUGCUUUUGAAAUUCAUAAUUGUCUUCCCCGUGGGCAUGUGACGAUGUGCUUAUUGCAUCAUCUCUCCUGUCUCUGAAUACUUUAAAAAAGUUGGCUUACUUAUUAGCUCUUGGGAAAGGUGAGAGCAGGAACUGGUAUUUCCACUUGUGCUCCCAGUUACAUGCCGUGGAAGUGAGGGAAUGUAUUUGAAACAGAUGUUAACAUGGCCACUGUAUAAAUUUGUCCAAGCAUAAAUAUAUGUCCAAGUAUAAAUAUGUUUGUUCCAUGCAUCCAGAAUUGCUGUACUGUGGCUAUCGGAGGCACCGCCUGGAAAGAAACAGAUACAUAUUGUUAUAGAAAAGGAUUCUCUUAAGGUGGCACUUAAGAGGCAAACUGUCAGCUCUGUCUAGAUUAAAAGGAAGCACUAAAUUACCUUAUGGUUUUAAGUGUUUUAUUUGCUAAAGUAUUUUAUUUCAAAUAAUAAAGGGUCAUAUGUUCUUCUUUACAGACAAAUAAGCUCUAAUUUUUCAAGACAGAGAAAAUAGCCCAACUAUUGCAUUGAAAUCAGCUACAAUUCUUGCUCUGGGAAGGAGAUAACCUGACCUCGCAGUCUAGGGAGCAAGCUGUUACUGUGGGGUUCUGUACGAGCACAGUUGAGGGUAAAGAGCAGUGCGCCAGCCCGGAUAGCACAGGGUUUGUAUCCCAGAAAACAGGCCGCGGUGAGGGAGACAACCAGGGUGGCUGUGAAAAGAUCUUGCAGUAACUGCCUAAAGCCCAUCCUGGCAGCAUUAAUGACAGGAGAUGGGGCAAGAGCCCCUUUCCCAAAAUAACCUCUAUACUCUGAUCUUGGAGAGCGAGGAAGGAGCUCCAUGAGCUCAGGCACAUUCUAUUCUUUUUAGUCUAACAAUUUGCUCCGUCGCAGAUGAGGCAUCUGUUUCUCCCCUCUCGUGUGUGGAAAGAGAAACAGAUGGCCCAAAACACGAGUGCUUUUUCAUCAGCUUUUCCUUCAAGUUAUUCCAGUCCCACACAGGCAGAAGAAUUGUUCAGGCUGCCUCCUCGCGACUCACUGCUGACAUGCAGGCACCUCUUUUGCAUGAAGCUAUGCCAGCAGUUCACAAGCACCUUAUCAGGGUCAUGAGAUAUUUCAAUAGUCCAGAAAUUUGAAUGCUGCAGUAGCAGGAGAAAAGCAGAAGAGUAGAAACAAAAGUUUCUUUUCGGUAUAAAAUACACAUGCAAAUGAUUUUGAAAAUUUACAAAUUGCUAUCGCAAAGAAGUUAGCAAAUAAUCAAAGAUAUUUUUAAAAACUGCUGAAAUGCUUUCAAAAUUCAGUGCUAUAAACACCUAGGAUGCAUGCAGUCCUCCUUAGGAUACUCAGUACACAUCUCAGCAGGAAAGAAAAUGUUACUUCUUGCCACUGCUCUUCAAAAUUCAAGUUUUCGAGCACAACCAAAGAAUCUCAGACUACAGACAUUGGGGGGGUUGGUUUUAAAGUUUUAUUCUUAAUUACAGCAAAGGCAAUUUUGGAGCCUGGUAUAAGGGCUGAGGCAAAAGCUUAGAUAUGAGGUUACCAGAAAGAUGGAAAUGAAUCAUAGAAUCAUAGAAUAGUUUGAGUUGGAAGGGACCUUAAAGAUCAUUGAGAUCCAACCCCUGCCAUGGGCAGGGACACCUCCCACUGGAUCAGGGACUCCAAGCCCCAUCCAACCUGGCCUUGAACAUCUCCAGGGAUGGGGCAGCCACCACUUCCCUCAGCAGCCUGUUCCAAUGCCUCACAGCCUCUUCUUCCCGAGAUCUCAUCUCAAUCUCCCCUCUUUCAGAUGAAAACAAUUCCCCUCCUCCUAUCCCUGCUCUCCCUGAUCAAGAGCCCCUCCCCAGCUUUACUGUACUUAUAUACUGAAUAUAUAGGAUGAAUCAUUAAAUAAAAACAUUCUUCUCUGUUGUUGGAGAGGAAUAUAAAGGAAUAUUAGCCAGUAAAAUGAAAAUAAUAGUCAAGACAUAUGGUGAGCUUAUGGAGGAGGAAAAUGCUCAUGGGGGUGGUACCCCAUGGUACGAGGGAAGUCCUGCCAAGAUCAUACAUUCACAGAAUCAUAGAGUCAUGGAAUCACAAGGUUAGAAAAGACCUCUUGGAUCACUGAAUCCAACCAUUCCUCUCUGCCACUAAACCAUGUCCCCGAGUACCUCCUCUAUUUGUCUUUCAAACCCCACCAGGGGUGGGAACUCCCCCGGCUCCCCAGGCAGCCUCUGACAGGGCCCAAUGACCCUUGCUGUGAAAAAUUUUUUCCUGAUAUCCAGUCUGACCCUCCCCUGGCAAAGCUUGAGGCCAUUCCCCCUUGUCCUGUCCCCUGUCACUUGGGAGAAGAGCCCAGCUCCCUCCUCUCCACAACCUCCUUUCAGGCAGCUGUAGAGAGAAAUGAGGUCUCCCCUCAGCCUCCUCUUCUCCAGGCUAAACAACCCCAGCUCUCUCAGCCGCUCCUCGUAACCUUUGUUCUCCAGCCCCUCACCAGCUUCGUUGCUCUUCUCUGGACACACUCCAGAGCCUCAAUAUCCUUCUUGUAGUGAGGGGCCAGAACUGAACCCAGGAUUCGAGGAGCAUGAGCUGUGCUCCUUUGCUUCUUUCCUCCCUGGCCCCGGUGCAGCACCUGUGUCCCUGCACUCACAGACGGCUCUGCGCACUCUGCCGCUCCUGGCGUGACCCCAAGCUCAGCUGCACGGGGUGCACGGGCUCCUCGCCAGGGAGAGAGAGACCAGGGCUGGUACAGCUUCAGGAGAUGACGUGCCCACCAAAGGACUGUGCUGCACAAACUCCAUCCAGCAGGAUCCCAUGUGGUGAAACUCCAUGUCUGGAACAAACCAUGGAUCCAGUUGUCCAUCAUGCAGUUAUAGCCAUUCAGAAACAGGCCGCGGUUGACUAUUCCCACAAAAUAAUUCAAGAGUCUCCUAGAAUUCACAGAAAAAAUAAGCAAACACAGUAUUUAGUUUAAAUUGAAACCUAAGCAUUAGUUUGAAUAGGCUUUAUAGACACUACAAUCCCACUGAAAUCCAGGGAAAGCUCAGAAAUAGGAACACGAUGGAGUAUGCCGCAGGUUAUUAGCUGAAGCAAUUGCAGGAACAUAACCGUCAAAUAUUGCAAGGCCAACUGUGGCAAAUAUACUUAAGUAGUACAAAUCGAGACACAACAAAUAAUGGCAGGAAUGAGUGGUAACGGGAUAUUACUGAUUCGGUGCCAUCGCUUACCCGAGUGUGACGAUGGGUCCCUGCCAGCAGGCGCCCAGAAGUAACACAUACCCUGAAAGCUCGAUCCAAGGAGUGACGGUUAUGCUUGGGACACGAAGGCUGGCAUCCCUGUGAAGGACAAACUCAGAACGUUCAAGUCAAGGGCAGACAGUCAUCGGAACGCGAGCUCCCACAGCAAUGUGACAGCCCAGAGAUGAAUGGGAUCAGGUGAACGUGCUGACAACUCACGGUUAAGGAGAUUGACAGUCUGGCAGAAUGUUUUGGUCAACAGUACGCCAAAAAGCCUCAUCAGUGUCGCCUGUUCUUGUUUGCAAUUCUAGGGGUUGUAUUUAUUGCUCUUUAUCACACUUCGGAACUAAACCUAAUCACAGCACACCCAAACAAAUCAAAACCCACUGGGAAGGGAUCACAGCUGCCACGGUACUGACCACCAUUUCCACCAACUUCUCUGUCAUUUGAGUUGCAGACUGAAAUCUUGGCCCCUUUGAAGCGAGCAGCAGAAAUCCCAUUGCCUCAGCAGGGCCAGGCUACCCUCGGAAGGAAUUCCCUUCCAGUCUGCAGAGUUGAAGUUCUUGGAUUACACAAAAUGGGAAACAAAGAGUUUUAAAUGAUUUAUUUGAUUUCUCCACAUGAUCACAGUUAUAGUUUUACAUCAAUAGGGUCUGUUACUACUUACAAACAGAAUGCAUAUUAAAAUGAAAGCACUCCUUUCUCCCCCAUAGUUACAAAAGAGGUCUCAAGCCUCCCCAGAACAGAAGCUUCUUGUAAGCAUAAUAGUUUUUGAAGUCUUUACCAGUCUGCAUUCAAGACCUAAUUCUAACAGUUUAAUACAACUCAAAGCUGAUUUAAGUUCCUAGCAGGAGAUAGGCAACCUCAAAGUGACUGCAGACUUAUAGUAAUACUAAUUUACACACUAUGUACAAUUUAGAGAAUUGUCUAUUCCCCCUACUGGUCCCGUUAUCACCACCCCCUUUCCUCUUUUCCAAAUUUAAUCUUGUUAUUGGUUCCACUUUUCUUAUAAAUAUAUACACAAUAAUCCAUUUUGCAGGCAAGAAGUGCGAUGGUAUUUUACAACGGAACAGCAAAAUGCAUGCUUAACUGCAGAAAACACACAGCUUCAUAUGGAACAGCAAGUCAACAUUUAGAGAUUCAUUGUUUAAAUAUCUGCUGACUGUCUUUCAGCUCAUUUUAUCAAGAAACAAGAGGCUUCUGCUGCAUGCAGUACAUGAUGGGAAAAUCAUUCUACACCGUAUGUUGGACUUGGCUUUUUGUUAGCAAUACAAGACGCACAUUAUAUUAGGAUGAACUUUGUUUUUUGUUUUUACAUCGUUUUACAUUUCAUUCUUAACUUAAAAAAAUAAAAACCCCAAAUAUAUAUUUGAUUGUUGUCCCAGAAAAGAUUUUUGUUGCCACACCUUCAUUCUUUACACUUCCCUUUCAUUUGUUCCAAUCAGCAUUACUGCUUUGCCACAUCGGUUAUGGGAAAAGAGAAACACGGUCGCUCUGUGCAGUUGCGCACCAGUUUCAAAUUGGCAAUGGCAUUUGAGAAAAAACGCUCUCGAUUCUACUCCUGCCUGCAGGCUGAACAAAUUCAUUCUCUUAACCACAUGCAGUGUUGAAGUACGAUCAUUUCCCUCUUCUAGGCACGAUCCACACUGCUUUAAGCACUUAUUAAUCAAGGACAGAGUCAGAGAGGUUACACGACAGCCCUAAACGAGCAGCAGAGUUCUUAACAGUUCUGCUGAACUGUUUGCUUCAAGUACAUACAAACUCACGGUCUGAGAAAAAACCCCAAUGAAAAUCAAAUCAGUUUGUCCUCAUUGAGAUAAUGAGAGUUUACAAAUACUGUGCUUUUGUAUGAACGCUUUUGUUUUUCAACUGGCCUCAAAACGCCCUGUGAUUUUACACAUGCACCUUAAUGCAUCGGAGAGGAGGCACCAACUCUUUCCCCAAGCGUACAUGGAAUCACGGGUAAAUGGGUUUUUGCACGCACGUCUGUGACCCUCCUGAAUUGGCUGCACAUGGAAGAUCUGCGGCCCAGCAUCGCAACGUGGCCUGCGGUGAAAGUUUAGCCUGUUGGUCUGUAACUCUAAUUUAAAUGAAAGAAAGGCGUUUUUAAACAUAAAGCACAUGCAGAUCUGGGAGACUGAACAUCUUCCUUCUUAAUUAACACAGCCAGAGUCAGGUUCUCCUCUCCACUGCUACCGCAUAUGCUGCAUUUACGUCAAUACACAGACAAUUUUACUUACAGUACAACUUUACAUCCAAAACAAGCACAGCCUCCAUCACUCAGUGAAGAGGAGCAUUCUUACCUUGGUUUUAAUUAAAAGAUGCAGUUUCUGAAAAAUGUUUGUACCUGAAUGGUUCUUUAUCUUUUCUGGAACAACCUUUAGAUUACAGUUAGACUCUACUAUUGGUACAGAUGUAUGAAGAAAAGUCUACAUAUUGAAAUAUGUUAUCACUUUACUUCAACUAAUAUCAACGGUAACACUGAUAUAAUUUUGCAAAUAUACAAUAUGUAGAGUGUAGCCUCACACUAAGAACAUCAGAUGACAUGCAGACAGUUCUACUUUCCCUUCUAAGAACAGUAUAUAUUCUUUAAACUGCAAGGAACAGAGCCUCAGGGGACCCAUAUAAGUCCUCUUAAGGUGAGCCGAGAAUUUAGAAUAGUAUGAACGAUAUUAAAAAUAAUCAUGUAAUUACUUGUUUUCCUUUCUUUUCGUGACGAUAAUUUAGAGGAGAAGGAGCAGAAGGGGAAAACAUAUUGCACAUGUGUGAAACAAACGUGGACAGCUUUGAACAAAAGGCUAAACUCUAGAUUGCUGUAUUUGCUCUCUGUGGAGGUUAACAAAGUGCUCAGUUUGCAGUUUUGCUGGUAUCGUGAUAUCAAUGGUAUGAAAGGGAAAAAAUUACUCAACCUCCCCCCCCGACCCCAGUAUGAGAGGUGCCAUGAGCGAGCUAAUAGGAAAAGUCACUCUCUGGUUCUCAUGUCCCCAUUAUUUCUAACAAUUUUAUUACUGUUAAAUACAAAACCGACUAUUGGUCGUUAUUAAUACUUUUACCCAUUGCAGACUGGAGCUUUUUGCUCAUCCUCUUCAAGGUUUGCUUUUAGGCUGGUACAGUGUUGCAGUUGUGAUUCCUUUGUCUCUACUGUUUAGGUGCAAAGUCCUUGCAGUGGCUCAAAAUGCUGAAAC